UACGAAGGGGGCUAGCGUUGCUCGGAAUCACUGGGCGUAAAGGGUGCGUAGGCGGGUCUUUAAGUCAGGGGUGAAGUCCUGGAGCUCAACUCCAGAACUGCCUUUGAUACUGGGAGCUCGAGUCCGGGAGAGGUGAGUGGAACUGCGAGUGUAGAGGUGAAAUUCGUAGAUAUUCGCAAGAACACCAGUGGCGAAGGCGGCUCACUGGCCCGGUACUGACGCUGAGGUGCGAAAGCGUGGGGAGCAAACAGG
rnacentral:rRNA from 1 species